rnacentral:sRNA from 1 species
GCCAGGUACUGUGCUGUGUGCCUGUAAUCUCAGCUACUUGGGAGGCUGAGGCAGGAGAAUCACUUGAGCCCGGGAGGCAGAGGUUGCAGUGAGCUGAGAUCGCACCACUGCGCCCCCGCCUGGGCAACACGAUGGUGCACACCUGCAGUCCCAGCUACUUAGGAGGCUGAGGCAGGAGAGCACUUGAGCCCGGGAGGUCAAGUUUGAAGUGUGUUGUGAUUACAUCACUGCACUCUAGCCUGGGUGACAGAGUGACACCCUGUCUCA